rnacentral:tRNA from 1 species
GGAGGCGAAAGGGGGCUGGUGUCCCUCCCGGUCUUCAAAACCGGUGCGUCGGCGAGAGCCGGCGGGCGGGUUCGAUUCCCGUCCGCCUCCG